AACAUCUUGUCUUCUGAACACUGACUAGUAUGAAAAAGUCCGACUUCGAAGUACAAAUGGAACGCACCAUUGUUCUUCCUCUUCUGAUGGCCAAUCACAGAGGACAGGGACUUUACCCAUCAUGUGUAGCAAUAUGAUGCCGACUGGAUCCGCCUACCCACUGCCAAAAUCACGUGAGUGAACAGGGUUUUUCUCGUUGUGCGAGAGCAGAGACGUCCUGUUUGCUCGUGGAUCGAAAUCCUGUUAGUUGAGAUCAAUUUUUUUGCUUUCAGAUUUUUGGCAGUAAUAUGACACCAUACCAGAGAACUUGAUUUGAUAGGGUGGGGACUGUUAAAAAAAUUACACCUUUUUAUUUGGUAAGUUUGGUUCAAUUUCACGCUGUGUUUCAGAACAUGGACCAAACUGCCUGAACAAAGUGAUGCAGUUAGAACAGCUCCUCACUGGGGUCAUAUCACAAGAAGCUGCCCAGUAUGAACUGUAGGCAUGGCAGCCAACUAUCCAACAUGUUGCUCUGUAGACUCCUUGGCAGAAGACAUAAUGCAUCUCUUUAUCUACUGUAACAGCAAAUAAAGGUAUACUGUUUGUUUGUUCUCAGGCUGGGAUGCAAAACAACCCGAUCUAUGCCAAUGUUGACCAUUUUAAUCAUGAAACCGAUCAGAAGAUAAAGGUCAAACAGGAUGAAGAAACUGUGACUUCCUCUUCUUUUAGGGCUAAAAUAAAGAGAGAGGCAGAUAUCGAUCCCUGCGGUCUCUACAGCUACAUCACUGAACCACAAUAACCAGAUAUGGAAACUUUUAGUGAACCUGUUUACAGGAAGUGGACCGUUGGGUUUGAGUUUCAGCGAUACCAUCAGCCAGCAUUCAUUUCUAGCUUGUGUUGCAAUUUUUCUGUUGAAUUUUGGUGAUAAGAAUCUUUCAGCAGAAUUUUACAUUUACUCUUAUGAUAGAGCUUUGCUGUAUUUGUAAAAUAUGUUGGCUGCACAUACUGAACUAAAGGCGUACAACAUGAAUACUUAGUGAGUGGUGCAUUAAAACACAUGUUUAUAAUGGUACUAUAAACCUAUCAUCAUCUUUUAAAAUAGAACUUUCUACCAUUAAAGUAGAACCAAAGUCAGGUGCUGUUAGUUUAUGGUUUAAAUCACUGAGCUGCACACCUGAACAAACUUUAUCUGAAGUUUUAUCUUCUGUUCUGCACAUAUUCUGAUCUGAGCUUUUGAGAGGAUUUUCACUAAAUAUUAAGACGCAGUCUGUGCUUCAGGUCAUGUGAUCGGGGCUUGCUGACUGUGCAGGAUGCAAGACAGACAACUGAGAGGAGCUAAAGAGUGUUUUUAACACAGAGAGACCCCCAGACUCUGGACCUGUCUCAUUCUGAGCUGGACAUCUGUGGACUCAGUAGUUUAGCUUUUAGCUACUUAUAAAAAUAAUCUUUUUGAACCAGUUUUUCAUUAAAUAUAAUUUUAGAGAUUAAAGUGGCAUUAUCUUGGUGUGAAUUACUUUAUUAAACAUGUGAUAUAUAAAUAUUAAAACUAAAUAAAAUACUUGAAUUACAA